CGCGGCCGCUCAGUGCGCAUGCGUCCCCCCCGCGCCUCAAAUGGCGUAGGCCUUAAAGGGCUACGCGCGGCAAAUACGGUCCGGCGGGGCGGGGCUGGGGGAGGGGCCCCCCGUGGAGCCUCCCCCCCAAAUGAUGAUGAUGGCUGUUUUUGGGGGGCUAUGGCAGCCCCAAGAACCCCACUGAGAGCGGGGCGCCCGCCGGGCCAGGGGCUGCCCCCACGCAGAGCGGGAGCUGCCCCCUGCCCCGCCGGGCCUACGCUCGCCAAGGCAAAGCCGUGCCCGGGCGGGGAGAGCCGCCGCAUGCCAAACUCGGGACGCUUUCAAAAAGGGGGGCUUGUUUUAUCUGCCCGUUGGGUUUCUUUGCUCCCCGGCGGGGUCGCGUGUUCCAGCUUUUCUCCGCACCCGAGAGCUACAACUUCGCCUUCAAAGAAAGUCUCCUGAGAUUCUCCUGUGUUCUGAGAACGCCAGGAGCUGGAGCUUUGAAGAAAAUCCCAAAUAUCGUGAGGCCCUGGAGGAAAAUCCUGAGAAUCGGCAGCACUGUUCUCUCACCUCAGCGAGUGAGGUCUGGGCCCUGGUUCUAGCAAAGCCCAAGUCGUCGGUUAGACCUCUGAGGUCAGCCCAGUCUGGCAAUGGGUUCCCUGAGGACUGCAAAGCUGUGAACUUCGCUGCCACAUGGACAGCACCUGCGUUUAUACUGAAGCUCCUUCAGAACUGCUGGGUUUGCACUGUUCUGACCCAGGGUGCCUUUGAGCCAAGUUUCCCUUUGAGGCUUAACCUGUCACGUGGGGCUACGUGUGUAUAUAGGCAAAGCCUCGUUGUUUAAGGGAGGAUACACCGAUUUCUAUCGGAUGAGGAUCUGGCCACCAGCAUGGAAGCUGGCAGCUACACCUGAUCCCCAGAGGAUAUAAGGUUUGUCAUCCCCCUUGGGAACUGGAGCCAGAUUUGGAAUGGAUUCUCGCCAGGAGCAGGAUCAGUCCACUCUGCUACCCUGCAGCAGGGGUUCUCAACCUUUUUCUUACUGAGACCCUCCAUCUGCUAUAAAAACUCCACAGCUCACUUAUGCCCCAAGAAACUUUUUUCUGCAUAUAAAAGCCAGGGCCAGCAUUAGGGGGUAGCAAACCGGGCAAUUGCCCAGGGCUGCACGCCACAGAGGCCCUGCGAAGCUAAGUUGCUCAGAAUUCUGCUUCAGCCAUGAGUGAUGGGGCUUAGAGACCCGGGCUUCAGCCCCAUUCCAUGGGGCUUUGGCUUUCUGCUCUCGGCCCCAGCAAGUCUAAUGCUGGCCCUGCUUGGCGGACCCCUUGAAACCUGCUCACGGCCCCCCAGGAGGUCCUGGACGUCUGGUUGAGAACUACAGCAUGCUGCAAUAUGAACAGAGAACUGCACUUAACCCUGCAGCCACUGGGGGUCUCCCUGCCACAGAAGUAUGGGUGCAAAUAUUCUUGGCAGAAUGGCCAUCAGAUCCCUUCCUAACCCUAGGGUGCAGGGUUGAGACAUGGCCCACAGGGUAUUCCUCAGAGUCCCUGGCACUCUGCAGUCUCCGGAGCUGGGAAGGGUGAGAAUUGACUCCUUUACUCUCAAGAGACAGAGGAUGCUUCCCAGUUUGCACCCCUGCAAUCCCGUAAGGGACAUCCCAUUAGAAAGCAAUGAGGAAAAGCUGUGUCUGACCUCAAGCGGCAUUGCGCCAGGUAGCAGCCUCCCUCCAAGUCAGGAAUGGACAGCAAUGACCAACGGACGUGGGGGAGCAAACUGCAAAUACAGCAUGAACCCCUCUCCUGGUGGGUUUUUCCCACCUCUGACAACGACCCAAGGGAGCUGGCUUUUCCUUACAUGUUGGCAGCACUUUGUACAGCUUGUCAUGUCAAUGAAGUCACUGAAGUGAAGAGAACUACCCAGCUCUGCAGUGAGGGCUUAGUUCCCAGUCUCCCUUACGUGUCCUGUGGUUAUUUCCACAGUGCCAGUUGCUACCCAAUGAAAAUGGUGCAGGAUUUUUAUACCCACUUUGCACAAGUACGAAUGACGGCACAAAGUGCAGGGAAAUGGAGACAUUGGCAUGCUGCCUUGGCCACUUGGCAGCACGUCCUGACUGAUGACCCUGGAAUAGAACCAGAGGAGAAUAUUUUCCUCCUGAGCAUCUGGGAUCCAAACACUGCUGUCCUUGCACAGGCGAAAAUACCUCUCACUUUCAGUGCAGGCUGUGGCCCCAAAGUCUCAGCCUCAAGCUGCCUGUCUCUUUUCCUUGUCCGCUCUCUUAACACCCCGGUAACAACAAUGCCAAUCAAACACAGCAUUGAAUGCAGACAGCCUUGACUAAGCAACUCUGUGAAGAGCUGUCACAACCUCAUCAGCUCUGCAUGGAAGGAGCCACUGUUUGAUAUUCUAGCCUUCGACUGGGUGUCGAGACUGUGCUCCAUGCUUGACAGGGAGAUGACUUCCUGAGCCAAGAGUCUGCCUCCCAGGGGCUGAUCCCAGAGAGCCUCUUCUCCACUCUUUCAAUUCGUCAUAUUGCCCUGGAGUGGCGCCAUCACCCUCUGAGGCCCUUACCCCACAAUGAUUAUGCAUGUUACAUUAGAAGCAGGGAGCAUGAUGUGACCAGAGAGAAAGCGGCUCAGAGGAGACCAGACCAUAGCUCUAGGAUGAAAAAAAAACCAGAAACUUCAUCUUGCUGCUGAGAUGCCUUUAGAAACUGUCUCUGGGAGGAGGGGGGGAAAGUUUUGUGCUCUGGUUAUCUGCAAAUAGUCUGUCAUUUCUGAGGAGACGAGACACAUGCACGCCAGGGCUGAGGAGGUGAGUAAUCCCCACCAUGACAGAGAUGACAAGGAGCCUUCACAACUGUUUUCUAGUUAGAAAUGAUCAGGCUAAACCCUCAGGAUCAGGAGUUCUAACAAACAGCUAUGCUCUGGGAGACAGCAGCUUGGGGUCUGAGCCAGGGUUUGCUCUUUAGCAAGCUUCCUAGAAGCUUCCAGCCCUUGCACGGGGCUAGUAAUUGCUAGGAUUAGAGGCAGUGUGACCUAGAGGGUAGAGCGCUGAGACUUGGGUUCUAUUCCUGGCUCUGACACUAGUAGUAUUAUGAUAGAAUCAGGAUCCAUUGUGCUAGGCGCUGUACAGACAGAACAAAAAGACAGUCCCUGCCCCAGAGAGCUUCCAGUCUACGUAUAAGACAAGAGAUGACGGAUCAGUACAGACGGGGGAGUGCAAUGAGUGAAUACUGGUCAGCAUGGCAGGGAGUGGUCUCUGCACGCCAGCAGCCGACUAUUGCCAGGUUGGUUGGUUGUUUCGUUGCUGGAUGACCUCAGAGCAAGUCACGUUCCCUGCCUGUGCCUCAGUUUCCCUAGCUGUAAAAUGGGGAUAAUGAUAUUUAUCCCUUGAUAUUCACAGACGGAAAGUGCCGGGUAUUAACCCGGUUUGGUUAAACUGCUGGAAGCCCUUGUGUGGGCCCCCUUUUUCUUGUGGUUUAAGGCCUUGGGAAAGUUCACCAGUUUAAUUUCAACCGGAUUUAGCUAAACUGCUGCAAAUGUGCUGCAAGGUCGCUCUUAUUUCAGUGUAAGAGCAGCUUAGUUUAGUUCAGCUUCAGUCCCCAAUUAACUCCAGCUAAACCACAAAGAGCCUCUUGUAAACUGGAUUAAGAGCAUCGACUUGGCUGUUUCCCACCAGUUUAACUGAACUGACUGUUCUGGAUGUAGACAAGUGGGAUGGCGAAACAAACUCCUGCUGCUCUGCUCUGUGACACACGUCUGUACUGCUACUCAGAUGGCAGGUGGGUGGCUGGGACACUCCAGGGCUCCGAGUCUGAGUUAUGCCCUGCAUCAUGUGCUGGCAUUUACACCAGAGCAGGAUGGACCUGUUCUGAUCUAGAAGUGUUUCCCAACAUGCUGCCCUGGUGUAAGCUCAGAGCAGCUGAGAGUCAGGCCUCAGGUGUAUCUGCAGGGGUCGGAACAGAGGUUGCGAUGUAGAAGCUCAGUGCUCAGAGGACACCUGCACUAUCCCGAAGCCUGCUGCCCCACACUUAGGGGUUCAAGUCCAUACUGAGCUGGGGAGGGCAAGGCUGGCUUUACAACCCCUUUACUCUAGAUUCUAGGCUGCUUUGGGGCAAAAACGUCCCCUGGCAUAAGACAGAGCAAACAGGUGCCCAUCAGUGGCACAGAGCAGAAUCCAUGAAGCACCAGGUUAUCCGGGCCUGCCCUCGAUUUGCUCACAGCAGCCCCACGCUGUUCUUGGGUGGUGGGAUUCUCUCCAGUCCAUUGUGUUGAGUUUACGUGCCAUUUGCCCCUGCACACCCCCAGAACAAGGGACAGAUUCUGUUUCACAAGAUUUUGUUAACAAGAGAUCUGAUAAGUCGGGCUAUUUUGCAUUCCCAUCCCCCUCCCCCGCAGCUCCGUUAGUGCCAUGAGCUAUUCUCAGUCUGUGAAAACCUUCACUGAGCAUGCUGAGCGAUGCAUCUGUCACAGGGCUCCUCACCUCAGAGUGACCCACCCAGGCCCUCCUAUUUGCAGAGCCCUGCGUUCUUGCCGGUUCACCUAAACCUCUGUAAAUGUCAGCUGGGCGAGCGAGGCAUACCCACUGAUAGUAACAGCAAACAGGAACGGCGUCGUUUCAAGCCACGCAAAGAUCUGCAGGUUACGGACUUUACACAAGUUGAGCAUGUCUAGGUCUAGACCUUGUGGGGAAUAAGGAGGUGGCUAGGGUGCAGGCUGUACUACAAGCUGCUGAAGAGCUUGGUUAGUGGAACAGAAGGCUGGGCCUCCCGUGGAAUUCUGUCUGAAUACAGCUGAUGCUUAUAAGGAAGGGGAAAUGAGGGGAACGAACGUAGUGCCCUGGGUGGGGUGCAAUAGACGCAGCAGGGUUUGUGGGUAGGGUACUGAACAAGGAGGCAGAAGGUGGUUUUAGUCCUUCCUCUGUCACUGCCUGGCUAGAUGAGCUGGGGCAAGUCCCUCCUGCUCUGUGCUUCUAUUUAGCCUGGAAGUGUAACUCACGGCUCCGGGUGACAUGAGUCUGCGACAGCCUCCAGCUAGGGAGUCUGGCUCUUCAGCACAAGCUACAGAGACGUGUGUAGGUCUCUGGUCCUAUCCCCAGUGCUCACCUAGAUGGUGUCUGUCACAAAAGCUCUUUAGGGUAACACUGUCUCUUGCUUUGUCUGUGCAGUGCCCGGCACAGUGCAGGAGCCAGUCUUGGUAGGGGUCUGUGCAGCACCCGGCACAGUGUGGGUCUUGGUCUUGGUUGGGGUCUGUGCAGCGCCCAGCACGGUAGGGGUCUUGGUCAGAGUCUGUCCAGUGCCCAGCCCAAGGUGGGUCUCAGUGGCAGGCACAGUGGGAGCACUGUUCUAGGUUGGGGUCUGUGCAGCACCCAGUGCAGCGAGGGGCCCAUAGGGGUCUGCAUGCCUGUUGCAGUGGGGCUCUCAUCUCUAUUGCGGCCUCUAGGGGGUUACAGUAACUGAUGUACUAUUAAGCAUCUGUUGUCACUGUAAAUUGUUCACGUGACAGCUAGCAUGAAGAGGCAGGGGCAGAGACGUGGUCCUUUUCCCCAAGGCCUCCAUAAUGCUGCAGAGUAACCGCUUAAUUGUAUUAUUGAUUCAGGUUAAGCCUUAAGCUGUUUGUCAGAAGGACUCUCUCCCAGUAAAAGCAGCCUGGAUUGUCUUGUCUCCUGAUCAAUUGCAU